rnacentral:rRNA from 1 species
UUCGACACACUAUCAUUAACUGAAUCCAUAGGUUAAUGAGGCGAACCGGGGGAACUGAAACAUCUAAGUACCCCGAGGAAAAGAAAUCAACCGAGAUUCCCCCAGUAGCGGCGAGCGAACGGGGAGGAGCCCAGAGCCUGAAUCAGUGUGUGUGUUAGUGGAAGCGUCUGGAAAGGCGUGCGAUACAGGGUGACAGCCCCGUACACAAAAAUGCACAUAUUGUGAGCUCGAUGAGUAGGGCGGGACACGUGGUAUCCUGUCUGAAUAUGGGGGGACCAUCCUCCAAGGCUAAAUACUCCUGACUGACCGAUAGUGAACCAGUACCGUGAGGGAAAGGCGAAAAGAACCCCGGCGAGGGGAGUGAAAAAGAACCUGAAACCGUGUACGUACAAGCAGUGGGAGCCUCUUAAUGGGGUGACUGCGUACCUUUUGUAUAAUGGGUCAGCGACUUAUAUUCUGUAGCAAGGUUAACCGAAUAGGGGAGCCGAAGGGAAACCGAGUCUUAACUGGGCGUUAAGUUGCAGGGUAUAGACCCGAAACCCGGUGAUCUAGCCAUGGGCAGGUUGAAGGUUGGGUAACACUAACUGGAGGACCGAACCGACUAAUGUUGAAAAAUUAGCGGAUGACUUGUGGCUGGGGGUGAAAGGCCAAUCAAACCGGGAGAUAGCUGGUUCUCCCCGAAAGCUAUUUAGGUAGCGCCUCGUGAAUUCAUCUCCGGGGGUAGAGCACUGUUUCGGCAAGGGGGUCAUCCCGACUUACCAACCCGAUGCAAACUGCGAAUACCGGAGAAUGUUAUCACGGGAGACACACGGCGGGUGCUAACGUCCGUCGUGAAGAGGGAAACAACCCAGACCGCCAGCUAAGGUCCCAAAGUCAUGGUUAAGUGGGAAACGAUGUGGGAAGGCCCAGACAGCCAGGAUGUUGGCUUAGAAGCAGCCAUCAUUUAAAGAAAGCGUAAUAGCUCACUGGUCGAGUCGGCCUGCGCGGAAGAUGUAACGGGGCUAAACCAUGCACCGAAGCUGCGGCAGCGACACUAUGUGUUGUUGGGUAGGGGAGCGUUCUGUAAGCCUGUGAAGGUGGCCUGUGAGGGUUGCUGGAGGUAUCAGAAGUGCGAAUGCUGACAUAAGUAACGAUAAAGCGGGUGAAAAGCCCGCUCGCCGGAAGACCAAGGGUUCCUGUCCAACGUUAAUCGGGGCAGGGUGAGUCGACCCCUAAGGCGAGGCCGAAAGGCGUAGUCGAUGGGAAACAGGUUAAUAUUCCUGUACUUGGUGUUACUGCGAAGGGGGGACGGAGAAGGCUAUGUUGGCCGGGCGACGGUUGUCCCGGUUUAAGCGUGUAGGCUGGUUUUCCAGGCAAAUCCGGAAAACCAAGGCUGAGGCGUGAUGA